AGUGAACGCUGGCGGUAGGCCUAACACAUGCAAGUCGAACGGUAGCACAGUAAGAGCUUGCUCUUACGGGUGGCGAGUGGCGGACGGGUGAGGAAUACAUCGGAAUCUACUUUUUCGUGGGGGAUAACGUAGGGAAACUUACGCUAAUACCGCAUACGACCUACGGGUGAAAGCAGGGGAUCUUCGGACCUUGCGCGAUUGAAUGAGCCGAUGUCGGAUUAGCUAGUUGGCGGGGUAAAGGCCCACCAAGGCGACGAUCCGUAGCUGGUCUGAGAGGAUGAUCAGCCACACUGGAACUGAGACACGGUCCAGACUCCUACGGGAGGCAGCAGUGGGGUAUAUUGGACAAUGGGCGCAAGCCUGAUCCAGCCAUACCGCGUGGGUGAAGAAGGCCUUCGGGUUGUAAAGCCCUUUUGUUGGGAAAGAAAAGCAGCAGGUUAAUACCCCGCUGUUCUGACGGUACCCAAAGAAUAAGCACCGGCUAACUUCGUG
rnacentral:rRNA from 1 species